GACGUAGGGGACGAGCGUUGUCCGGAUUCAUUGGGCGUAAAGGGCGCGUAGGCGGCGGGGUAGGUCGGGUGUGAAAUCUCAGAGCUCAACUCUGAAACUGCACUCGAUACUGCUCUGCUUGAGGACUGGAGAGGAGACUGGAAUUCACGGUGUAGCAGUGAAAUGCGUAGAUAUCGUGAGGAAGACCAGUGGCGAAGGCGGGUCUCUGGACAGUUCCUGACGCUGAGGCGCGAAGGCCAGGGGAGCAAACGGG
rnacentral:rRNA from 1 species